rnacentral:rRNA from 1 species
GACGAACGCUGGCGGCGUGCCUAAUACAUGCAAGUCGAGCGAAUCGAUGGGAGCUUGCUCCCUGAGAUUAGCGGCGAACGGGUGAGUAACACGUGGGUAACCUGCCUGUAAGACUGGGAUAACUUCGGGAAACCGGAGCUAAUACCGGAUACUUUCUUUUCUCGCAUGAGGGAAGAUGGAAAGAUGGUUCUGCUAUCACUUACAGAUGGACCCGCGGCGCAUUAGCUAGUAGGUGAGGUAACGGCUCACCAAGGCAACGAUGCGUAGCCGACCUGAGAGGGUGAUCGGCCACACUGGGACUGAGACACGGCCCAGACUCCUACGGGAGGCAGCAGUAGGGAAUCUUCCGCAAUGGACGAAAGUCUGACGGAGCAACGCCGCGUGAGCGAAGAAGGCCUUCGGGUCGUAAAGCUCUGUUGUUAGGGAAGAACAAGUACGAGAGUAACUGCUCGUACCUUGACGGUACCUAACCAGAAAGCCACGGCUAACUACGUGCCAGCCGCCGCCGUAAUAC